rnacentral:rRNA from 1 species
GUUUUAAAAGGGUAUUAAAAUAGUGGCAGUUAGAUGCCCAGAGCUGGCGGUUGCCGCGUGGCAGGCAGGCGUCAUCCACCUGGGAAAGCGUGGGCAGGUGGGUUGAUUCGUAGAGGGGAGAGAAAGGGAGCAGGAGAAGGAGGAAGCUAGAGGUGCCGUUUCCUUUUCUUUUAGGGCAUAAUUAGUUAAAUGUCCAGCCAGAGAUAGACGAGGGUAGAGGACGAGGAGGAGGCGAAUGCUAGCGGCGCGUGUUAAGGAAGGUUUAAAUAAACUAAUGAAACUAAAAAGAGAUACCUUAAGACUUUAGACUCCGCUCAAACACAAUCUAACACGGACCCCCGAACUAAUCUAACAAAGCUCUACCGCCGCACGGCCCCUAAGAAGCUCACGGACGAGUCCGACGAGUUGAAAAAGGAGUGGCAGCGGCCGGAACGGUACCAGCCGAUGCCCUAGAUGGACGAGCACCUCACCUACUCCUAGAGGCCGCCACCGCUUCCCCGUGGCGGCAGAGGCCGGGGCGGCCGACUCAACGAAUGCAAACCGGCGGGCUACGAGUGCCAGCACCGGGAACCUCUUCCUCCGUCAAAGAAGCUGUUCGAUGGGUUUCGUACCAAGUAGAUAAACAAGUAACCACAACCACGACAAUAGAAGUAGCAAAGAGAUAAACCGACGUAACCUCGUCCCUGUUCCUUAUGCACAACGAACACAACAAUAAGAAAGAACCAGUAUAAUAAUUAGGAACGACUCCGACCUCCACGACGUAAGUAUAAGAAACUGGUAUCGACCUUUCUACAUUAAGGUCACCUAUUCUGUGUUUUGAAACUACGGUACAUAUUGAAAGACUUACUUUUGACCUUCUAACGUUCUACCCAACGAGAACCACAACAACAAAAACUCCAUAACGAAAAGAACAAUCGAGAACGACAGUCCCGUUACUUGUUUGGACGGCUCAUACUGUCACUACUACUUUAGUAACCUUGACAAGCUUCGUGAUCGUAGGCAGUCGGAGAAUAGGUAAGGGUCUUACGAGGCCGAUGACCACAAGGGCAGGGUUGUGAACUAGUUGCACGCUCGUCUUUACUACGUACCUCGGUUUCCUACGCUCUCUUCAUACCAGACCUGUGUUCGGUUAAAUGAAUGUUGGGUAGUCUACGUUGGUCUAUAGUCGUUUUACCCCGUGGAGGUCGACUUCUUUCCUCGGCAACGUAGCAUUACACUUUUAGGAAGUGCUGCAGUAGGUUUAACUACCAAGAACUUGUCCGGUAGAGUCGAACGUGUCAAACCGAUAUGGCACAACAAGUCUCACCACAUACUUAUCUCCAGGAAAAUGGAAUUACGAGUAGAAUAGACGACAGAAGACUUGUUGAGGUACGUGGACAUUAAAAACACACUUGCUCAUAACCGGCAACUAUAGAGUAAUAUAAAGUACAAAAGGAGCCUAAGGAAAACAACCGUAAGGUAAAAACGGGACAAAUGGGAAAGUUGAACAUAGUACUUGAUCUCAUCUACCACUUGAGGCGAAGCGUCUAACCAGUUACACACGAACUACGCCAACCACAAAUUAAACAAAUACCCACUCUCUCACACGGACCACCUCAUACAUACAACUGUUAACUCUAGGCACUACCGUUUAACAGUGAGGUAGCAGUUAACAAUAGAUAGACAAUUAUGUUAUGUUAAUUUU